rnacentral:rRNA from 1 species
CUCCCCCCGAGUGGUGGAUAACCUUCCGAAAGGAGGGCUAAUACAGCAUAAGACCACGGGUCCGAAAGGGCUUGAGGUCAAAGCCGGCCUCUAUAUAUAAGCUGGCGCUUGGGGAUGAGCCUGCGGCCCAUCAGCUUGUUGGUAGGGUAAUGGCCUACCAAGGCUAAGACGGGUAGCUGGUCUGAGAGGAUGAUCAGCCACACUGGAACUGAGACACGGUCCAG